UACGUAGGGGGCAAGCGUUGUCCGGAUUUAUUGGGCGUAAAGAGCGUGUAGGCGGCUUUACAGGUCCGUUGUGAAAACUCGAGGCUCAACCUCGAGACGCCGGUGGAAACCGUAAAGCUAGAGUCCGGAAGAGGAGAGUGGAAUUCCUGGUGUAGCGGUGAAAUGCGCAGAUAUCAGGAAGAACACCCGUGGCGAAGGCAGCUCGCUGGGACGUGACUGACGCUGAGACGCGAAAGCGUGGGGAGCAAACAGG
rnacentral:rRNA from 1 species